rnacentral:rRNA from 1 species
UACGUAGGGUGCGAGCGUUGUCCGGAAUUAUUGGGCGUAAAGAGCUUGUAGGCGGUUUGUCGCGUCUGCUGUGAAAAUCCGGGAGCUCAACCCGUGACUUGCAGUGGGUACGGGGCAGACUAGAGUGUGGUAGGGGAGACUGGAAUUCCUGGUGUAGCGGUGGAAUGCGCAGAUAUCAGGAGGAACACCGGAGCGGAAGGCGGUCUCUGG